AGCGAACGCUGGCGGCAGGCUUAACACAUGCAAGUCGAGCGGGCGUAGCAAUACGUCAGCGGCAGACGGGUGAGUAACGCGUGGGAACGUACCUUUUGGUCGGAACAACCCAGGGAAACUUGGGCUAAUACCGGAUAAGCCCUUACGGGGAAAGAUUUAUCGCCGAAAGAUCGGCCCGCGUCUGAUUAGCUAGUUGGUGAGGUAACGGCUCACCAAGGCGACGAUCAGUAGCUGGUCUGAGAGGAUGAUCAGCCACAUUGGGACUGAGACACGGCCCAAACUCCUACGGGAGGCAGCAGUGGGGAAUAUUGGACAAUGGGCGGCAAGCCUGAUCCAGCCAUGCCGCGUGAGUGAUGAAGGCCCUAGGGUUGUAAAGCUCUUUUGUGCGGGAAGAUAAUGACGGGUACCGCAAGAAUAAGCCCCCGGCU
rnacentral:rRNA from 1 species